UCUAUUUUUGUUCUGCAUCAAGUAAUUUGUAGUAAUCCUAUCACGGGGUAGUAAUUUUCACACCAUCUGAGGAGAAGUCAGAUGAAUUUCUGAUAAAAGCAGACCUCGUUAAGUCCAACCUGAAUGUGGAACACCCAGGGUAUAGGUGGUGUACAUAUACCAGCCAAUCAUCUCAUCACACAUCUUGAUUUGCCUUGAUCAAAGAAGCAAUUUGUGUGACAUUCCUCCCCUCUCUCCACCAAAGUUGCUAAUCACCUUUUCAAGAUAGACAGAGAACACUGUACAAAUUGCUUGCCAUAGCCCCAAAAUGCUAAUCGCUUACCAACAUCUAAAUUAUGACUUGAGACCUUGCAGGAUAAGGUAGGCAAACAGUGUCGGUGCACAGAACUAUUAUUUACCAGUGUCAAAAAUAACUAUCUGAUUUACAUAAAUGUGGGCCUAGAUGACAACUUCUCUCUCAAACUGCUUCUACAGCAGAAAAAAAGAAACUUCGGCCGGUAUGAAGGGAGGCAUGUCAGUAUUUUUUUUUAACUCUUACAAAAUGGAAUCGGGCCUGUUGGAAUUAGGUCUUUGAGCACUGAUUUGGAGAAGAGAAAUUCCAAGAAAAACAAUUUAGAGUGUGUGUUUUGUAAAAUUCUAUUUCCUUUGAAUUUAUCAGUUGCUGUCUUGUGUAAGACGGUGGCCUCCCAAGUGGGUUCUGUGUACCUCAAGCGAUUCAUUUGGCUUUAUGGGGUACAGAGAGAAACCAUUGUGUCUUUUAAUUCUAUCAUUCCUGUUUUGUUGAUGGUGCUUUUAAAACACACAUCUUUAAACUCGUAGUGCAUAUGUAUGCAUUGCAGAGAAAUGUGUAUAUCCUGGAUGCAGGUUUUUUUUUUUUUAUUUUUUAUUUUUUCCUAUUAGUGGUCAGUGGUAAAUGAAAAGUCAUUGGAGACAUUGUUAGAUCAUAUUUGAUCCUGGUAGAGAACAUUGUCUGGUUCUAACAAGAAUUUUCUAGAGAGACAGCUGUGUCCACAAAUAUAUUACUAGAGGAUAUUGUUCUAUGGCACAAAGGAGCCUGGCUGAAGGUGUUGACAUUUUAUGUUUCCUUCUAUUCAGACAAAGAAAUGUACUGUCCUGAAAAACUAUGUACUUAUCAUUAUGGUCUUUGAAGGUUUCAAGUGGAGCUGUGACAGGUAGAGCAGAGGUGAUAACUCUCCCAGAGGACUCAGUCUCCCUGCACUGUCCAUGCUUCAGGCAUUUCAGGCUAGGACUGACAGGCACUAGUGUUUGCAUUUCUGGAAAACAACAAUGAGUAACUCUACUCAUUUGGAGAAUGUUCUUCAUGUUCCAUGUUGGGCUUGAUGAGAGAGAUCCCAAGAAACUCCUGCCUCUGCCCUCGUCCUCCCUCAAGCUGGCCCAGCAGUUGUUGAGACUAGAUACAAACUGAAGACUACAGAGAGGUGCCACUGCAGAGGAGGGUGAGCAAUGGAGCUUUGAUGGGACCUGCUGAGAGCUGGGAGGCCAUCGUGACAUAUGAGGUAUCCUGUUUGAAGCAGACUGCCACGAUUCCUGUCUCAGCUGUAUCUUACCAGCUUUGUGCCCUCAGUACUUCCCAUGAGACACAUCCAGUCCAACGCUUGAACGAAUGGCAUGACGGGAGGCAGCCAACUGCUGGACUGACGGACAGACUCUGUUCCCUUGUUUUCUGGAUCAAGCAAAUUGAUUGAACCAAGUACCAGCUCUACAUGGGAUGGGGAGAACAAGGCAGUACUACAUCCCUUCCUGGUGUGGACAAGAAGCCCUGCCUCUGUAUGGACGAAAGACCUGUACUUGUGGGACCAGAAAAGGAGUGUGUAUGUAGGUGGCAGAAUAUCAGAGCAGGAGAAGAGAGCAAAGCAGAAGUUCAGGGAGGGCUAGGCAGCAAGGGAUCAGAUUCAAUCAGAAGGAAACAGGGGAGACUGCUUGCCGAUAUAGUGGAAGGAAAUGUGGGAGUCACACCGACCAAGAGCUGGUGUGGGCGUGUGCACAGUGACUGUGUCAAGGAGAGCAUCUUUUGCUGAAUACGGAGAAGGGCGGUGGAGGAGACAGCCUUAGCUUUUUACUCAACGUAAUUAAUUACUUUGUGGCUUUAAAUAAAAACCAGCUCUUUGAGGGAAAGCCUGACAGGGUUUCUUCUAACUUAAUGUUUGCUGAACCAUCCCUUCUAUCUCACUUACCUGAUGUGGAACAUAUGCUGGGAUCAGAGUGACAGAGGAUAAAUCACCAGCUUUGCUUGGCUUCUUUGAAAAAUGAAUUUGGGGGCUGAGAUUCCUCAUCAGUAUACAUCUUCUCAGAGCAGCUUCCUGACAGGCCAGCAGGCUUGGGGAAUGUCCUGUGCAAAGGUAAGCAGGGACUCAGAAGAGCCCAGAUGUCUACCUCUGGCAACAGAUCCAUCACCUCAGAACACAGGACAAGCCACCUGUGUGAAGCUAACGGGUGUGUCUGGGGCUGAGCUGGAGAGCCAGCUGCAAUCUAGAGAUUAGGAUGCAGAUGUGGCCCUUCUGAGAAUUCAAUGAAUGCAUCCUGGACUUUUAAUUAGUGCCAGAAACAUGGUAGCUUAAUGAUGAUGCUCAGAGGUCAGAAAGCCUCAAGUCAGAAAGCCUGAGGUAAGUGAGCCUCCCUCAGCUCUGCCAUUGGCAGUCUGAGCAUGCUUGAGUCUCUUCAUCCACAAAAUGGGAUGAAACAGUCUUGUGUUUCACUUUGCCGUGAGUUUAAAUGUUUGCCAGCUCAGUCUGCCAUUGCGGCCUCAUUCUCACUACUGAAUUUCAGGGAGCUCUAAGUUCCAAUGUAAUGACUGGCCUAUGGCAGACACUAAAGAGAAGUUUGCUGUUCCCUCCUGUCUAGAGCUGGCAGUUAUGAGUUCCCAGGCUGAAACAGGAGGAAGUACUGGGAAAGCACUUUUGACUCCCGGAGCUUGGGGUCAGGAGAAGAGGGUGGUGUGAGUUGGGUGACAUUUCCCGUAAGAUGGAGGCUUAGCUAUAUCAAGUUGCCAGACUCUAAGGGGAGCUGUGGGGAAGAAUCAACUCCGUGAGUGCCUUGGCUCCUGACCUUUCAAGUUAAUAAUGACAUGAUGUUGAACAAAUCGCCUGGUCUCUCUGCACAUUAGUUUCCUCAUCCCUACAAUGGGGAGGUGAACUGGAUUGGAUAAAUUUAAACAAUUUUUCUCUUAGCUUUCCUUUUCUGAUUACAGAAGUCAUGUAUACUCAUUGUAGAAAGCUUGGAAAACAUACACAAACGUCUAAACAAGAUCAUUCAAACCACCCAUUAUCCCACCACCCAGAGAAAAACACUGUCAAUACUGUGCUACAUUCUGCUUCCUUGGUUUAUAGUAUAUUAGAGAGUGAAAUCAGACGGUGCAUUCAAUUCUAUGUCAUGUUUUUCCUUGCUGGUGUUAAAUUACCAUCAGCAUUGCCGUCGUGUCAUUAAAACAUUAUUUGGGCCUCGUU